AUUGAACGCUGGCGGAAUGCUUUACACAUGCAAGUCGAACGGCAGCACGGACUUCGGUCUGGUGGCGAGUGGCGAACGGGUGAGUAAUACAUCGGAACGUGCCCAGUCGUGGGGGAUAACGUAGCGAAAGCUACGCUAAUACCGCAUACGAUCUAAGGAUGAAAGCGGGGGAUCGCAAGACCUCGCGCGAUUGGAGCGGCCGAUGGCAGAUUAGGUAGUUGGUAGGGUAAAGGCCUACCAAGCCGACGAUCUGUAGCUGGCCUGAGAGGAUGAUCAGCCACACUGGGACUGAGACACGGCCCAGACUCCUACGGGAGGCAGCAGUGGGGAAUUUUGGACAAUGGGCGCAAGCCUGAUCCAGCCAUUCCGCGUGCAGGAUGAAGGCCUUCGGGUUGUAAACUGCUCUUGUACAGAACGAAAAGGCUCUGGUUAAUACCCGGGGCUCAUGACGGUACUGUAAGAAUAAGCAUCGGCUAACUACGUGCCAGCCGCCGCCGUAA
rnacentral:rRNA from 1 species